AGAACAAGAACAAAAAGAACUUUUCUGACUGAGGUCCAGACUGAAUCUUUUCAUACAAGCAACGAUUCGAUACCACUUGAUGGCUGUCCCGAGACCCAUACGCACAGACGUCUUCACCUGCGUAUGAAGCCACCACUUCCAGAGAACAAUGAGACCCACUGCCGAGCCAACUAUCACCAAAGUAAAGAAGAAAAAAUACACAACGCAGAGAAAAGACUUACGGAACCUUCAGUCAUCCAUCAACAUUAUCAAGAUGUAGUAACCACCAGGACAUCGCACAAAGUGAAGACUCCACAAUCCUCGUUUUUGCUGGAAACCUUGCAGGCCACAGCCGAAGAUGGCUGCAUUGACUCUCUUGUGCACAAGCAUGAUGGUUAAACAGU